GAGUUUGAUCCUGGCUCAGAACGUACGCUGGCGGCACGCCUAACACAUGCAAGUCGAACGAAGUAGCAAUACUUAGUGGCAGACGGGUGAGUAACAUGUAGGUAUCUGCCCUUUGGCCUGGAAUAACACGAGGAAACUUGUGCUAAUACCGGAUAAGUCUUUACGGAGAAAGCUUUAUGCACCAUUGGAUGAGCCUGCACUUGAUUAGUUUGUUGGUGGGGUAAUGGCCUACCAAGACUGUGAUCAAUAGCUGAUUUGAGAGGAUGAUCAGCCACAUUGGGACUGAGACACGGCCCAAACUCCUACGGGAGGCAGCAGUGGGGAAUCUUGCACAAUGGAGGAAACUCUGAUGCAGCGAUGCCGCGUGAGUGAAGAAGGCCCUUGGGUUGUAAAGCUCUUUCGUCGGGGAAGAAAAUGACUGUACCCGAAUAAGAAGGUCCGGCUAACUUCGUGCCAGCAGCCGCGGUAAUACGAAGGGACCUAGCGUAGUUCGGAAUUACUGGGCUUAAAGAGUUCGUAGGUGGUUGAAAAAGUUAGUGGUGAAAUCCCAGAGCUUAACUCUGGAACUGCCAUUAAAACUUUUCAGCUAGAGUAUGAUAGAGGAAAGCAGAAUUUCUAGUGUAGAGGUGAAAUUCGUAGAUAUUAGAAAGAAUACCAAUUGCGAAGGCAGCUUUCUGGAUCAUUACUGACACUGAGGAACGAAAGCAUGGGUAGCGAAGAGGAUUAGAUACCCUCGUAGUCCAUGCCGUAAACGAUGUGUGUUAGACGUUGGAAAUUUAUUUUCAGUGUCGCAGGGAAACCGAUAAACACACCGCCUGGGGAGUACGACCGCAAGGUUAAAACUCAAAUGAAUUGACGGGGACCCGCACAAGUAGUGGAGCAUGUGGUUUAAUUCGAAGAUACGCGCAGAACCUUACCAACACUUGACAUGUUCGUCGCGACUCUAAGAGAUUAGAGUUUUCGGUUCGGCCGGACGAAACACAGGUGCUGCAUGGCUGUCGUCAGCUCGUGUCGUGAGAUGUUGGGUUAAGUCCCGCAACGAGCGCAACCCUCACUUUUAGUUGCCAUCAUUAAGUUGGGCACUCUGAAAGAACUGCCAGUGAUAAGCUGGAGGAAGGUGGGGAUGACGUCAAGUCCUCAUGGCCCUUACGUGUUGGGCUACACACGUGCUACAAUGGUAUCUACAACAGGAAGCAAAACUGCGAAGUUAAGCAAAUCCCUAAAAGAUACCUCAGUUCGGAUUGCACUCUGCAACUCGAGUGCAUGAAGCUGGAAUUACUAGUAAUCGUGGAUCAGCGUGCCACGGUGAAUGCGUUCCCGGGUCUUGUACACACCGCCCGUCACACCAUGGGAGUUGGUUCUACCUUAAGGCAAGGUUUCAAACCCUUGACCACGGUAUAGUCAGCGACUGGGGUGAAGUCGUAACAAGGUAACC
rnacentral:rRNA from 1 species